GUUUAUAUAGUUUAACUAAAACUUUACAUUUUCAAUGUAAGAAUAAAAUUUUAAAUUUUUAUAAAUA
rnacentral:tRNA from 1 species